rnacentral:rRNA from 1 species
UGCAGUCGAGCGGCAGCACGGGUACUUGUACCUGGUGGCGAGCGGCGGACGGGUGAGUAAUGCCUAGGAAUCUGCCUGGUAGUGGGGGAUAACGCUCGGAAACGGACGCUAAUACCGCAUACGUCCUACGGGAGAAAGCAGGGGACCUUCGGGCCUUGCGCUAUCAGAUGAGCCUAGGUCGGAUUAGCUAGUUGGUGAGGUAAUGGCUCACCAAGGCGACGAUCCGUAACUGGUCUGAGAGGAUGAUCAGUCACACUGGAACUGAGACACGGUCCAGACUCCUACGGGAGGCAGCAGUGGGGAAUAUUGGACAAUGGGCGAAAGCCUGAUCCAGCCAUGCCGCGUGUGUGAAGAAGGUCUUCGGAUUGUAAAGCACUUUAAGUUGGGAGGAAGGGCAGUUACCUAAUACGUAUCUGUUUUGACGUUACCGACAGAAUAAGCACCGGCUAACUCUGUG